CUUAACUCUGGGAUAAGCCUGGGAAACNGGGUCUAAUACCGGAUAUGACUCCUCAUCGCAUGGUGGGGGGUGGAAAGCUUUUUGUGGUUUUGGAUGGACUCGCGGCCUAUCAGCUUGUUGGUGAGGUAAUGGCUUACCAAGGCGACGACGGGUAGCCGGCCUGAGAGGGUGACCGGCCACACUGGGACUGAGACACGGCCCAGACUCCUACGGGAGGCAGCAGUGGGGAAUAUUGCACAAUGGGCGCAAGCCUGAUGCAGCGACGCCGCGUGAGGGAUGACGGCCUUCGGGUUGUAAACCUCUUUCAGUAGGGAAGAAGCGAAAGUGACGGUACCUGCAGAAGAAGCGCCGGCUAACUACGUGCCAGCAGCCGCGGUAAUACGUAGGGCGCAAGCGUUAUCCGGAAUUAUUGGGCGUAAAGAGCUCGUAGGCGGUUUGUCGCGUCUGCCGUGAAAGUCCGGGGCUCAACUCCGGAUCUGCGGUGGGUACGGGCAGACUAGAGUGAUGUAGGGGAGACUGGAAUUCCUGGUGUAGCGGUGAAAUGCGCAGAUAUCAGGANGAACACCGAUGGCGAANGCAGGUCUCUGGGNAUUAACUGACGCUGANGAGCGAAAGCAUGGGGAGCGAACAGGAUUAGAUACCCUNNAGUCCAUGCCGUAAACGUUGGGCACUANNUGUGGGGGACANUCCACGUUUUCCGCGCCGU
rnacentral:rRNA from 1 species